GAGCGAAACCGCCCCGCCCCGGCCUGGCCGGGACGGUCUGCCGGACGUGGUGGUCCGGUACUGACGAGCAGCCGAGG
rnacentral:hammerhead_ribozyme from 2 species